AACGAACGCUGGCGGCAUGCCUAACACAUGCAAGUCGAACGAGACCUUCGGGUCUAGUGGCGCACGGGUGCGUAACGCGUGGGAACCUGCCCUUAGGUUCGGAAUAACUCCCCGAAAGGGGUGCUAAUACCGGAUAAUGUCUUCGGACCAAAGAUUUAUCGCCUUUGGAUGGGCCCGCGUUGGAUUAGCUAGUUGGUAGGGUAAAAGCCUACCAAGGCGACGAUCCAUAGCUGGUCUGAGAGGAUGAUCAGCCACACUGGGGCUGAGACACGGCCCAGACUCCUACGGGAGGCAGCAGUGGGGAAUAUUGGACAGUGGGCGAAAGCCUGAUCCAGCAAUGCCGCGUGAGUGAUGAAGGCCUUAGGGUUGUAAAGCUCUUUUACCCGGGAUGAUAAUGACAGUACCGGGAGAAUAAGCUCCGGCUAACUCCGUG
rnacentral:rRNA from 1 species